rnacentral:rRNA from 1 species
UACGUAGGGUGCAAGCGUUGUCCGGAAUUAUUGGGCGUAAAGAGCUCGUAGGCGGUUUGUCGCGUCGGCUGUGAAAACUCGGGGCUCAACCCCGAGCCUGCAGUCGAUACGGGCAAACUUGAGUGCGGUAGGGGAGACUGGAAUUCCUGGUGUAGCGGUGAAAUGCGCAGAUAUCGGGAGGAACACCGGUGGCGAAGGCGGUUCUCUGGGCCUGUUCUGACGCUGAGGAGCGAAAGCGUGGGGAGCGAACAGG